GGAGAUGAGCAUAUCUACAUCACUGAAUUGUCUUCAGAAAUAAUGAGGUAAUAUAAUGAAAAUUUCUAGUAAAAUGCCCGGUAAUGGCUACCACUCAAUCAAUGAUGACUUUAGUAUUAUUUUGAAUAUAACUUUGAAAACAAGAUAGAGUAUAUCUGAAUGUGACUUCUAAAGUGUUUGCUGACAUUUCAAGAUAAAACACAUUGUUUGGAUGCAAGCAUAGAUUAUUUACAUGAUUCUCCACAUUUUUAUUUCAUCUAUGAUUUUCCUUGCAUAUUUUAUAUAUGUGUCCAGACUAAUACAAAAAUAUGAGUGACUAAUACUAACAUAAAUUCAUAUGCAUAUGUAUAUGUGCAUAUAUGUGUGUAUGUAUAUGUAAAUAUGCACAUGUAUUCAUACAUAUAGAUGUACUUAUUCAUUUACUUUCUUCCCUCAAUAUUGAAGCAGUAAGCCCUGCUUGAAAACCAGUUACUUCCACUCAGGCUCAUAUACAAACAUUUAUUUUUGAUAGGCUCCAAGCACAGUGAAUGGAAUACAACAGAAUGGAGGGGACACUAUUAGGCUCAUAGCAUGAGCCUCAAGUUGUGCUUACUUGAGAGGCCUCGUCUCUUUUGAAAGACUGCCUGGCAACAAAUUGCCUACACUGGGAAAAAAGAGGUUCAAGGACAAUGGGCCAAGUUGGAGUGAGGGGGAUACUUCUGAGUAAAUAAAGAUGAUGAUGACUACCAUGCUCACCCGUAUCAUCACCAACACUAUUAUCUUCUGGCCCCGUCUUUAUGGAUUAAUGCUUGAGUUUGGAAGAAUAAUCUAGAAUCCCAACCAUUCUACUAAAAUCUCUGGGAGAUUGAGAAUGAAAGUCAGCUUGAAGAGAUUCAGCAAAGUUGGUGCCAGAAACUGACAGCACGAAGAGAUGAUUCAACUACCCGGAGACUUGAGGCAAAUCCUCUUUUCUUUAUUCGUGAGAUUCACGGAUGGACGAUGGCUCCAUCUUUCAAAGCACACACCUACCAGCAUCUCUUUCACAGAGGGAAUUUAGACAUCUAAAAUCCUCAAGCUCCAGAAACUGGUCAUUGAGAAGAUGGAAAUGGUGCUGCUACAGCCACCUGCAGAGCUGGAGUGGAACAAAUGCCAGCUACUUGGGUAGACAGCUGGGAUACAAGAUCUCUAAAGAGCUGAUUAUAUCUACAUAUUUCCUAAUGGAACAAGCAGGAAUUUUCCUAUGCCACAAACUCAGGUGUGUGAAAAUAUAACUAUCUUCUCCUUUUUUUUUUUUUUUAACUUAAUUGAAUCUUUACUUUGAGCUAUUAUUAUAUUUGGUGGUAGAAAACUUAAUUUUUUCAAUUCUAGGUAGAUUUAUCCACCUGGACUAUCAUCACUCAUUUCAGGCUUAAAUUCACUCAAUUCCAGACUUCCCUCUCCCUGUGUCUUAACCCUAGGGGAACAUUCCAGGCAUUUACAUACCAUCAUGACACCUGGGAGGCAUUGGCUUUGUGGCUGCCAUUCUCUACCACAGGGAGUGUCUACUGAGCUAUAACUUAUCCUAUCU
rnacentral:lncRNA from 1 species